GGAGGUAAGGGCGCUCUGGUUGAGACAUCUGUCACCCCAUUGAUCACCAGGGUUGAUUCCGCUGAUCUGGCUGGCUAGGCAGGUGUCUCCCUCCUUCCUCAUCAAUCCAUGUGCAUCUCUCCUCCGGAAGCUGCAAGCUGUGUGUUUGGGAGAAGAGGACAACCUUCCCCUAGAGGAGAAGACAGGUCUCUGGUCAAGGGUAUAUGAGUAGCUGUGCUCCCCUGCUAGAACUCCAAACAAGCUCUCAAAGGAAGAAGCAUAAUCCUAGUGUCUACCACAUAUUUAGCCUUUUCCUGUUCAAGAUUUUGUGCUGUU
rnacentral:snRNA from 1 species